AUUGAACGCUGGCGGCAUGCCUUACACAUGCAAGUCGAACGGCAGCACGGACUUCGGUCUGGUGGCGAGUGGCGAACGGGUGAGUAAUAUAUCGGAACAUGCCUUGUAGUGGGGGAUAACUAUCCGAAAGGAUAGCUAAUACCGCAUACGCUCUAAGGAGGAAAGCGGGGGAUCGUAAGACCUCGUGCUAUAAGAGUGGCCGAUAUCUGAUUAGCUAGUUGGUGAGGUAAAGGCUCACCAAGGCGACGAUCAGUAGCUGGUCUGAGAGGACGACCGGCCACACUGGAACUGAGACACGGUCCAGACUCCUACGGGAGGCAGCAGUGGGGAAUUUUGGACAAUGGGGGCAACCCUGAUCCAGCAAUGCCGCGUGAGUGAAGAAGGCCUUCGGGUUGUAAAGCUCUUUUGUCAGGGAAGAAACGGUUGUGGCUAAUAUCCAUGGCUAAUGACGGUACCUGAAGAAUAAGCACCGGCUAACUACGUGCCAGCAGCCGCCGUAACAC
rnacentral:rRNA from 1 species